AAAGAUGAUCAUCAACUAUUAAUUUAGCUAGCAAAGCUUGUUUUAACAGUACUCAACAAUGGCAAGUAGCUCCACAAGAAUUGUUAUGGUGAGCCUUAUGAUCAUCUUCGCCGUGGUGUCAUCUCCGUUGAUGUUAGAAUUAGAAGCUGCUCGAAUCCCUCAUCGCGAACUUGAAGGGCCAAUAUGCCCAGCAUGUGUAUGUUGUGAACCUCCACCGCCAAACUCAUGUUGUCCUUGCUGUUCUACUCCUAUUUCGACUUCUGGAAACGAAACCCCAUAGAAUACAAGAAGAAGAAACACCCUAAUUCUCAAAUUUCAGGCAUUUCUUCACAAAACUAAAUUAUAAGUAUAAAUAAAUAUGGAUUGUUUGUUGUAAAAACAAUGCCAGUCUAUUGCCUGAAAUUGGAACUCUUGGGGGGGGAGAAAUUGUAAUAGUUUGUUUGUUUGUUUGUUUUUGUUUUUUUGAUAUCGUCUGGAAUGCCUGAUAUAUUAUAAUGAAAUGAUGCAGUUUACAUGGA